AAGUCGUAACAAGGUUUCCGUAGGUGAACCUGCGGAAGGAUCAUUAGUGAUUUCGGUCGAGAGACCUUUAUACCUAAAAAUCUUCAUACCAACACCUGUGAACUGUCGGGCCUUCGGGCCUCCUUAUAACAAACAUCAGUGUAAUGAACGUGAAAUACAAAUAAAACAUAAUAAAACUUUCAACAACGGAUCUCUUGGCUCUC
rnacentral:misc_RNA from 1 species